rnacentral:rRNA from 1 species
AACGAACGCUGGCGGCAGGCCUAACACAUGCAAGUCGAACGCAUCGCAAGAUGAGUGGCGCACGGGUGAGUAACACGUGGGAAUGUAUCCUUUGGUUCGGAAUAACGUUUGGAAACGAACGCUAAUACCGGAUGAGCCCUACGGGGGAAAGAUUUAUCGCCAAAGGAGCAGCCCGCGUCUGAUUAGGUAGUUGGUGGGGUAAUGGCCUACCAAGCCGACGAUCAGUAGCUGGUCUGAGAGGAUGAUCAGCCACACUGGGACUGAGACACGGCCCAGACUCCUACGGGAGGCAGCAGUGGGGAAUAUUGGACAAUGGGCGCAAGCCUGAUCCAGCCAUGCCGCGUGAGUGAUGAAGGCCUUCGGGUUGUAAAGCUCUUUCGCACACGACGAUGAUGACGGUAGUGUGAGAAGAAGCCCCGGCUAACUUCGUGCCAGCCGCCGCGGUAAAAC